rnacentral:misc_RNA from 1 species
GGCACAUUGACUUAUGAGGCGGUAAGUAGAGAAAUUCUUGACAUUUCUUGUGUUUGUAUCUAACCUAUUCUAUGAGCCUUGCAUUUAUAGUUUUAUGGCCUUGAUGUAGUUCCUUGAGCUGAUUAAUAAUUUUUGCUGAGUAUUUUUAAGCUAUUAUACUCUCAGACUAUUUCAUGUUUACAUGUCUUUGAUAUCUUUUAAUAGAUUUGAUUACACAUUUGCAUUACAAUCUAACUUGCUAGACAUAAAAUUUGACCUUAAAAUAUAUGUUACCAAUUUCUUGGGCAAAUACUUUAGUGAGGUGUUCUGCUGACCAUUUUGAAUUUAAUCAUUUAGGUGAUUCACUUGUGUUCAGAUUCAGAUGUAUGCUUUUAUAAGUUGAUGAUGUGAUCUAGUGAUGUAUGCACAGGC